UCCCGUGUGGCUCAGUUGGUAGAGCAUGGUGUUUGCAACGCCAGGGUUGUGAGUUCGAUUCCCACGGGGGGAA
rnacentral:tRNA from 1 species